rnacentral:rRNA from 1 species
CCCUUAGAUGUCCGGGGCCGCACGCGCGCUACACUGAAGGAAUCAGCGUGGCUUUCUCCCUGACCCGAAAGGGUUGGGAAACCCGUUGAAUCUCCUUCGUGAUAGGGAUUGGGGCUUGAAAUUGUUCCCCAUGAACGAGGAAUUCCCAGUAAGCGCGAGUCAUAAGCUCGCGUUGAUUACGUCCCUGCCCUUUGUACACACCGCCCGUCGCUCCUACCGAUUGAGUGUUCCGGUGAAUAAUUCGGACUGCAGUAGCGUGGGGACUCCUCACCUGCAGCGGAAAGUUUGGUGAACCUUAACACUUAGAGGAAGGAGAAGUCGUAACA